UGGGGAAUUUUGGACAAUGGGCGCAAGCCUGAUCCAGCCAUGCCGCGUGCGGGAAGAAGGCCUUCGGGUUGUAAACCGCUUUUGUCAGGGAGGAAAUCCUUUGAGCUAAUACCUCGGGGGGAUGACGGUACCUGAAGAAUAAGCACCGGCUAACUACGUGCCAGCAGCCGCGGUAAUACGUAGGGUGCAAGCGUUAAUCGGAAUUACUGGGCGUAAAGCGUGCUCAGGCGGUUAUGCAAGACAGAUGUGAAAUCCCCGGGCUCAACCUGGGAGCUGCAUUUGGGACGGGAUAGCGAGAGUACGGUAGAGGGGGAUGGAAGUCCGCGUGUAGCAGUGAAAUGCGUAGAUAUGCGGAGGAACACCGAUGGCGAAGGCAAUCCCCUGGACCUGUACUGACGCUCAUGCACGAAAGCGUGGGGAGCGAACA
rnacentral:rRNA from 1 species